rnacentral:rRNA from 1 species
UACGAAGGGGGCUAGCGUUGCUCGGAAUCACGUGGGCGUAAAGGGUGCGUAGGCGGGUCUUUAAGUCAGGGGUGAAAUCCUGGAGCUCAACUCCAGAACUGCCUUUGAUACUGAAGAUCUUGAGUUCGGGAGAGGUGAGUGGAACUGCGAGUGUAGAAGUGAAAUUCGUAGAUAUUCGCAAGAACACCAGUGGCGAAGGCGGCUCACUGGCCCGAUACUGACGCUGAGGCACGAAAGCGUGGGGAGCAAACAGG